rnacentral:misc_RNA from 1 species
GAUGAAGACGUAGCGAAAUGCGAUAAGUAAUGUGAAUUGCAGAAUUCAGUGAAUCAUCGAAUCUUUGAACGCACAUUGCGCCCGCCAGUAUUCUGGCGGGCAUGCCUGUUCGAGCGUCAUUACAACCCUCAGGCCCCCGGGCCUGGCGUUGGGGAUCGGCGGAGCCCCCCGUGGGCACACGCCGUCCCCCAAAUGCAGUGGCGGUCCCGCCGCAGCUUCCAUCGCGUAGUAGCUAACACCUCGCGACUGGAGAGCGGCGCGGCCACGCCGUAAAACACCCAACUCUUCUGAAGUUGACCUCGAAUCAGGUAGGAAUACCCGCUGAACUUAAGCAUAUCAAUAAGCGGAGG